UAUUUGUGAUGGCAAUUGUUCUUCUUCACGCUGGAGCUGCAGCAGGGACUUCUGGUUACUUGUGAUGGCAAGUGCUGGUCUUAACCCUGGAGCUGCAGCAGGGACUUCUGGUUACUUGUGAUGGCAAGUGCUGGUCUUCACCCUGGAGCUGCAGUAGGGACUACUGGUUACUUGUGAUGGCAAGUGCUGGUCUUCAAACUGGAGCUACAGAGGCACGUCUACUUUAAGAUGACAGAGGCCUCUGUCGAACCCGGAGCUGCAGCCGGGGCUUCUGCUUUGUUAUGAUGGCAAAGGCCUCUCUCCGCCCUGGAGCUGCAGCUGGGACCUCUGCUUGGUUGUGAUCGCAAAGGCCUUUCUCCACCCCUGAGCUUCACCAGGGAUUUAUGGUUACUUGGGGUGUUAAGUGUUGUGCUUUGAAUAGUAGCUGCAGCAGAGACCUCUACCUGGUUGUGAUGGCAAAGGUCUCUCUCCACCCUAGAGCUGCAGCAGGGACCUUUGCUUUGGUGUGAUGGCAAAGGCCUCUCUCCACCCUACAGCUGCAGCAGAGAGGUCUGGUUACUUGGGAUUGCACGUGUUGUUCUUCAGACUGGAACUGCAUGUCAGACCUCUGCUUUGUUGUGAUGGCAAUGGCCUCUCUCCACCCUGGAGCUGCAGCUGGGACCUCUGCUUUUUUCUUGUGGCAAAGGCCUCUCUCCACCCGAGAAGUAUAUCAGGGAUUUCUGGUUACUUGGGAUGGCUAGUGUUCUUCGAAUGGCAGCUGCAGCUUGGACGUCUGCUUUAUUGUGACGGAAAAGGAUUCUCUCCACCCCGGAGCUGCAGCUGGGAAUACUGGUUAUUUGUGAUGGCAAUUGGUCUUCUUCACGCUGAAGCUGCAGCAGUGACUUCUGGUUACUUGUGAUGGCAAGUGCUGGUCUUCACCCUGGAGCUGCAGCAGGGACUUCUGCUUCAUUGUAAUAGCAAGUGCUGGUCUUCACCCUGGAGCUGCAGCAGGGACUUCUGGUUACUUGUGAUGGCAAGUGCUGGUCUUCACCCUGGAGCUGCAGCAGGGACAUCUGAUUCUUUGUGAUGGCAAGUGCUGGUCUUCACCCUGGAGCUGCAGCAGUGACUUCUGGUUACUUGUGAUUGCAAAUGCUGGUCUUCACCCUGGAGCUGCAGCAGGGACUUCUCCGUACGUGUGAUGGCAAGUGCUGCUCUUCACCCUGGCGCUGCAGCAGGGACUUCUGGUUACUUCUGAUGGCAAGUGCUGUUCUUCACCUUGGAGCUGCAGCAGGGACUUCUGCUUGGUUGUGAUGGCAAGUGCUGAUCUUCACCCUGGAGCAGCAGCAGGGACUUCUGGUUACUUGUGAUGGCAAGUGCUGGUCUUCACCCUGCAGCUGCAGCAGGGACUUCUUCUUCGUUGUGAUGGCAAGUGCUGGUCUUCACCCUGGAGCUGCAGUAGGGACUACUGGUUACUUGUGAUGGCAAGUGCUGGUCUUCAAACUGGAGCUACAGAGGCACGUCUACUUUAAGAUGACAGAGGCCUCUGUCGAACCCGGAGCUGCAGCCGGGGCUUCUGCUUUGUUAUGAUGGCAAAGGCCUCUCUCCACCCUGGAGCUGCAGCUGGGACCUCUGCUUGGUUGUGAUUGCAAAGGCCUUUCUCCACCCCUGAGCUUCACCAGGGAUUUAUGGUUACUUGGGGUGUUAAGUGUUGUGCUUUGAAUGGUAGCUGCAGCAGAGACCUCUGCCUGGUUGUGAUGGCAAAAGUCUCUCUCCACCCUAGAGCUGCAGCAGGGACCUUUGCUUUGGUGUGAUGGCAAAGGCCUCUCUCCACCCUACAGCUGCAGCAGAGAGGUCUGGUUACUUGGGAUUGCACGUGUUGUUCUUCAGACUGGAACUGCAUGUCAGACCUCUGCUUUGUUGUGAUGGCAAAGGACUCUCUCCACCCCGGAGCUGCAGCUGGGAAUACUGGUUAUUUGUGAUGGCAAUUGGUCUUCUUCACACUGGAGCUGCAGCAGGGACUUCUGCUUUCUUGUGAUGACACCUGCUGAUCUUCACCCUGGAGCAGCAGCAGGGACUUCUGGUUACUUGUGGUGGCAAGUGUUGGUCUUCAAACUGGAGCUGCAGCAGGGACUUCUGCUUCCUUGUGAUGGCAAGUGCUGGUCUUCACCCUGGAGCUGCAGCAGGGACUUCUGCUUCGUUGUGAUGGCAAGUGCUGGUCUUCCCCCUGGAGCUGCAGCAGGGACUUCUGCUUCCUUGUGAUGGCAAGUGCUGGUCUUCACCCUGGAGCUGCAGCAGGGACUUCUGGUUACUUGUGGUGGCAAGUGUUGGUCUUCAAACUGGAGCUGCAGCAGGGACUUCUGCUUCCUUGUGAUGGCAAGUGCUGGUCUUCACCCUGGAGCUGCAGCAGGGACUUCUGCUUCCUUGUGAUGGCAAGUGCUGGUCUUCACCCUGGAGCUGCAGCAGGGACUUCUGGUUACUUGUGGUGGCAAGUGCUGGUCUUCACCCUGGAGCAGCAGCAGGGACUUCUGGUUACUUGUGAUGGCAAGUGCUGGUCUUCACCCUAGAACUGCAGCAGGGACUUCUGAUUACUUGUGAUGGCAAGUGCUGGUCUUCACCCUGGAGUUGCAGCAGGGACUUCUGGUUACUUGUGAUGGCAAGUGCUGGUCUUCACCCUGGAGCUGCAGCAGGGACUUCUGCUUUAUUGUGAUGGCAAGUGCUGAUCUUCACCCUGGAGCAGGAGCAGGGACAUCUGAUUACUUGUGAUGGCAAGUGCUGGUCUUCACCCUGGAGCAGCAGGAGGGACUUCUGAUUACUUGUGAUGGGGAGUGCUGGUCUUCACCCUGGAGCUGCAGCAGGGACUUCUGGUUUCUUAUGAUGGCAAGUGUUGUUCUUCAAACUGGAGCUUCAGAGGGACCUCUUAUUUAAGGUGACAAAGGCCUCUCUCCAAACCGGAACUCUAGCCGAGACCUCUGCUUUGUUAUGAUGGCAAAGGCCUCUCUCCACCCUGGAGCUGCAGCUGGGACCUCUGCUUGGUUGUGAUCACAAAGGCCUUUCUCCACCCCGGAGCUUCACCAGGGAUUUAUGGUUACUUGGGGUGUUAAGUGUUGUGCUUUGAAUGGUAGCUGCAGCAGAGACCUCUGCCUGGUUGUGAUGGCAAAGGUCUCUCUCCACCCUAGAGCUGCAGCAGGGACCUUUGCUUUGGUGUGAUGGCAAAGGCCUCUCUCCACCCUACAGCUGCAGCAGAGAGGUCUGGUUACUUGGGAUUGCACGUGUUGUUCUUCAGACUGGAACUGCAUGUCAGACCUCUGCUUUUUUGUGAUGGCAAUGGCCUCUCUCUAACCUGGAGCUGCAGCUGGGACCUCUGCUUGGUUGCGAUCGCAAAGGACUUUCUCCACCCCGGAGCGUCACCAGGGACUUGUGGUUACUUGGGAUAUCAAGCGUUGUGCUUUGAAUGGUAGCUGCAGCAGAGACCUCAGCCUGGUUGUGAUGGCAAAGGCCUCUCUCCACCCUACAGCUGCAGCUGGGCCCUUUGCUUUUUUGUGAUGCCAAAGGCUUCUCUCCACCGGAAAACUAUAGCAGGGACUUGUGGUUACUUGGGAUGGCUAGUGUUGUCCCAUCGCAGCUGCAGCUGGGACCUCAACCUGGUUGUGAUAGGAAAGGUCUCUCUCCACCCAAGAGCUGCUGCUGGGACUACUGGUUACUUGUGAUGGCAAGUGCUGGUCUUCACCCUGUAGCUGCAGCAGGGACUUCUGCUUCUUUGUGAUUGCAAGUGCUGGUCUUCACCCUGGAGCUGCAGCAGGGACUUCUGCUUCGCUGUGAUGGCAAGUGCCGGUCUUCACCAUGGAGCUGCUGCAGGGACUUCUGGUUACUUGUGAUGGCAAGUGCUGGUCUUCACCCUGGAGCUGCAGCAGGGACUUCUGCUUUCUUGUGAUGGCACCUGCUGAUCUUCACCCUGGAGCAGCAGUAGGGACUUCUGAUUACUUGUGAUGGCAAGUCUUAUUCUUCACCCUGGAGCUGGCGCUGGGAUCUCUGCUUUUUCGCGAUGGCAAUGGCCUCUCUCCAUUCGAGAAGUAUAUCAGGGACUUCUGGUUACUUGGGAUGGCUAGUGUUGUUCUUUGAACGGAAGCUGCAGCUGAGACCUCUGCUUGGUUGUGAUGGCAAAGGCCUCUCUCCACCCCGGAACUGCAGCUGGGACUAUUGGUUACUUGUGAUGACAAGUGGUCUUCUUCAUCAUGGAGCUGCAGCAGGGACUCCUGCUUAGUUGUGAUCAUAAAUGUUGUUCUUCACCCUGGAGCGGCAGCAGGGACUUCUGGUUACUUGUGAUUGCAAUUGCUGUUCUCUACCCUGGACCUGCUGCAGGGCCUUCUGGGUAUUUCUGAUUGCAAUUUCUUUCUUCACCCUACAGCUGGCCCUAGUCCCUCUGCUUCCUUGUGAUGGUAAGUGUUCUUCUUCACCCUGGAGCUACAGCUGGUAUGUCUGUUUUUGUGAUGGUGUAGGCCUCUCUCCACCCUUAUAUGAAACUGGUAAUGUCCAAUGUCAUUGCCAAGUAAUGCCCAAUCCUUGCCUAGUGCCUGCACUGAAGUGCCCUCUCAUUCUUUCUGACCAGUUGUCUAAUACUCGGUUUGUCGGUAGUGAAAACUUUAGGAAGCGUGGCGGCUAUUACUGCAGCCGCCAACCUCCCAAUUCCAUAGCAUGUUCCCCUCUCGUUGCCCUCUGGGCCAGUGUCCCAAAGUUCUCUUCACCUCAAUUUUUUUUAGGAUGGAUAAACUGUUUCUUUGUAUGGCACUUCAGAAUUUGAUUAUUUGAUAUUUUCAAGUUGUUUGGAGAGGAACGUUGGUAGAGUUCAACUGGAAUGUUCCCUCUACUCCACCAUCUUGGGGUGUUUUAGAUCGGGGCAAGAAUAUGCUCCAGAAGCAAAUUAAAACAGUUCCCC